UUUCUUUUUGAAGAUUGCAUGUGGGCAAUCAGCUAUGUCAGGAGCUCAGGAUAUGAGGCAGCAGUAAAACGCAAAAGAUGAUGACGUUUUGAGAGUGUUCUUAGAGAAUUUAUAUAUUUUCCUUUUUUUUUUCCCUUCUCUUGUACAUAUCUGAAAAAUAAAUAAAUGGGAAAGGAAAAAUGCAGGCAGGUUUGAUCUGUGUUUGCCUUUGUUGAAUCUCAGGUUUUGGCUUCUUGAAAUAGGGGAUUGAGAGCAUAAUGUUAAGUUCAGGGAAUAAUUUAAGCCGGGGAAGUGCCACAAUGUCAUCAGAUGUUCCACCCUUGACACAGUGUUUAUCUUUGGAACCAAUUACAUUAGGCUAUCAGAAAUAUACUCGUUCUGGAGAGGUUAGGCGGGUUUUGGGUAUCCCUCUUGGAAGUGCAUCAGAGGACCAUUCCUUUGGAGUUGCUCAUGCCAAGCCUCCACCUCCGGUGACAACAGAGGAACUAAAACACUUUAAAGAAAGUGUGCAAGAUGCUUGUAAAAAGGCCUGGGAUAGAACAAAAAUGUUGCGUGAUUCCUUGUUCAAAUUGGAUAAGUAUAGGGAAGCGUUAAGCUCAAAGAAGCGACAGGAGUGAACUUUCAUUAAAUGAGAGGUCAAAUGGAGCAAAUGCGGGAAAGAUGGGGAGUCAGAUUCAUAGAAAUACUCAUGAUAUAAUGAAUCAAAGAUUGGAGGACAGGGCCAAGGGUGUUGGGCUGAAUAAGCGUGUUCGUACCUCAGUGGCUGAUGUGCGGCUAUUGUUGGUAAAACAGGAAGUGCCAAGUGAAUUAGGACUUUGUUGGAGAAGAAUAUGGCCCAAAAAAAGACUGUUUUUCGCUGCUGGACAAAGGCACUGUUGCACUUGCUUGUGACACACCCUGGGGUGUGUGGUGGGCUGCUGGGACAUGUUAUGCCUUGUUUUCUGAGGAAUUUCUUGCCCUUUUGUCCCUCUUUUCUUCCUUUCAUGCUUUCCUUGUUUCUUAAGACCAAUUCCCGCAUCAUACUUCCCCACUUGGAAAAAACUCGUCCUCGAGUUGGAACAAUUUGCAACAAACCUAAAACAUUGCCGUAACAACUAUAGUUAUUAAAGGUGCGCCUUUGAGGUGCAAGGCGCACCAAGCAAGGGGGUCUGCACCUUAAAACCCAUAACGCGGUUGACCUUUUUAGGCACACCCAGGCGUGCCCCAGAGAGACUAGCACAUCCAUGAGUCCUGCGAGAUUUGAGGGAUUCCAUAACCAUCGCAGCAGUGAAGAAGAAGAAGAAGAAGAAGAAGUGGUGUUGUGGUUGUCCUUUUCUUUUUCUUAAUUGUAACUUGUAAGUGAGGUUAGCGGCUGGCUGAGUAUGUGGUUGUACUGUAAUGGGCUUAAAGUAUGUGGGCCUAAAUCUAAUUUAAAGUUUUUCA